UGAUAUAAAGUUUUAAUUUACCCCUGUAUAAAUAUAUAGGCAAAACAGGAUGAUCCCUAAGGUAAUAGAAACGAAUAAACUGCCAUCGUACUUC